CCGCUGAAUUUAAGCAUAUAACUAAGCGGAGGAAAAGAAACUAACAAGGAUUCCCUCAGUAACGGCGAGUGAAGCGGGAAUAGCCCAGCACCGAAUCCCUCAGUGUCAUGCUGACGGGAACUGUGGUGUGUGGGACGCCACCAGUCGCAUCAGAGGGCGCCGAAGUCCUCCUGAUCGGGGCUUCACCCAGAGCGGGUGUAAGGCCUUUGCGGGUGCCUCUCUGUGCGGCCGCGAGCGUCUCAGGAGUCGGGUUGUUUGGGAAUGCAGCCCAAAGCGGGUGGUAAACUCC
rnacentral:rRNA from 9 species